UCCACCUGAGGAGGGGCUCCGCCGCCAGAGUGACGACCAAGGAGGAGGAGUACUGCUGCUUCAACUCGGCGGAGGAGAAGGAGGCGGCCAUGGACGAGAAGUGGAAGAACAGGCUGUGGAAGACGUGCGUCUACGCCAUCACCUUGGGCAUGCUCGUCGCGCUGCUGCUCGGCCUCAACAUGUCCUGAAGUGCCAUUACCGCCGCCCUCGCGCUCAUCGUCCUCGACUUCAAGGACGCCCGCCCCUGCCUGGAGAAGUAUUUGUCUGCAGUCAAACUGAACCAAGGGUAGAAAAGUAUGGCGUUCACCCUGCACUUGCCCAUUGUUUUCCAUCACCAGCAUAAGGCGAGCAGCAAGACAUCAUGUAGUAAGAGCUGAGAUGUUCCUGCCUACAGAUGGUAGGUGUUUCGUGUUGAUUUUUGAGAACAGACAUGGUGCUGAAACCUUGUUGGAAAAAGCAACUAGAUGGAGAAGAAGUCUUUUGUUUUCUUUCGAAACGCGGUGUGUCUUCAGAAAGCCGACAAGCUAUACUUAUUUUUAUUUUUACCAGAAAGCCAUACUUAAGUUUACAAGAGCACGCAUGAAGUUGGUCAGGAUCAUACAUUAUUACUGAAAGCAGGAGCUAGGUGAUAGCAUCAUGAUAUAUGUUUCAAGGAUAAAGCUAUUCAUCUAAACGUUCUUAUAUUACUUUACCGGGGGAGUAUUCA